rnacentral:rRNA from 1 species
UGUAGACUGGGACGGGAGGGGGUGAUAAGAGGGGGGGGGAAGGGUUUAUCCGGAGUUACUGGGGUGAAAGGGGGUGUAGGCUGGCCGGUAAGUCAGAGGUGAAAUCGCUGAGGUCAACGCAGGAACUGCCUUGGAUACUAGUGGUCUUGAAUGUCGUUGAGGUUGGAGGAAUAUGUCAUGUAGCGGUGAAAUGCUUAGAUAUGACAUAGAACACCGAUUGCGAAGGCGGCUAGCUAAACGAUCAUUGACGCUGAGGCACGAAAGCGUGGGGAUCAAACAGGAUUAGAUACCCGUGUAGUC